AAUUUAGUGACUGCAGUACUGGAAGAUUCCAGUAGGGGGCGUGGACAGGUGACUAGGGUCAAGCACGCGUUCCUUUAGUAUCAUAGAACAAUAGACUGAUCGAGGGAAACUCAGCGUGUUUGUUUGUCUCUAAUACCUGUUCCCUUAUUGCAGAUUUCAAAUAAGAUGAUAGACUGGGAGUGCAGGGUGUAAAAAGAUUCAUCGUUCAAGACUCCACGUCCUCAGACACCACAGACUAGAACAUAGACACUGCUCAAAAAUAAGUCCACUUCCAUCUUGAUUAUUCUGAAGUGCAUAUUGAGAGAGAGCCACUGGAGCAAUAUAUGGUUGUGCGUUACAGCUCUAAUGGCCAAAUGCAGUGAAUUUCUCUGUUGUUCUUGAGGACGAAUUGGUCACCACCCACAACCAACUUCCAGAUGCCUUUCUUGUCCUGUUUGGAUUCCUGUAUGCUUUUCACGUACAUAUUCCUAAAGGACUUGCAAAAACAUUGGUAUUUGUGCAAAAAACUUUUGCUUGGCAUGGAAGAUGGGGAAACUGUC